rnacentral:rRNA from 1 species
UACGUAGGGAGCAAGCGUUGUCCGGAAUCAUUGGGCGUAAAGCGCGCGUAGGUGGCCCUGUAAGUCCGUUGUGAAAGUCAAAGGCUCAACCUUUGAAAGCCGAUGGAUACUGCAGGGCUAGAGUACGGAAGAGGCGAGUGGAAUUCCUGGUGUAGCGGUGGAAUGCGCAGAUAUCAGGAGGAACACCAAUAGCGAAGGCAGCUCGCUGGGACGUUACUGACACUGAGGCGCGAAAGCGUGGGGAUCAAACAGG